UACGUAGGGUGCUAGCGUUAUCCGGAUUUAUUGGGCGUAAAGGGCUUGUAGGUGGUUUGUCGCGUCGUCUGUGAAAUUCCGGGGCUUAACUCCGGGCGUGCAGGCGAUACGGGCAUAACUUGAGUACUGUAGGGGAGACUGGAAUUCCUGGUGUAGCGGUGAAAUGCGCAGAUAUCAGGAGGAACACCGGUGGCGAAGGCGGGUCUCUGGGCAGUAACUGACGCUGAGGAACGAAAGCGUGGGUAGCAAACAGG
rnacentral:rRNA from 1 species